rnacentral:lncRNA from 1 species
CUUGCCUUGCUAAGGGCAUCAUCCCAAGCUUGUGCGUAGGGAUGACCCUUUGCCAAAUCAGCAGCAUGAGCAGCAAUUUUGUAGGAUAUCACACCUGUCUUAACAUCAUCACGAUUAGGCAACCCAAGGUGCUCCUUUGGUGUAACAUAACAAAGAAGUGCAGUGCCAAGAGCUCCAAUGUUGGCCGCACCAAUGGCUGAGGUGAUGUGGUCAUAACCAGGUGCGAUAUCAGUUGUCAGUGGACCCAACGUAUAGAAAGGUGCUUCAUUACACCACUCCAGCUGUUUUUCCAUGUUUUCAGGAAUUUUAUGCAUUGGGAUGUGCCCUGGACCUUCAUUCAUCACCUAAAAGUUGAUAGAUAUCAGGAAGUUUGCCCCAAAGUUUCAACUAUUGAGUUAUAUACAAACCAUGGUCUACAAAUCAGCAAUUUGAAACUUUGAAUCAUCUAGUACUUUGUUAUAUAUUAGUCGAUUUAACAGAAAAUUCCUAGGUAAACUUAACUGCACUGGAAAUAAGAGCAGAUCACUGAUUAGAUGUUAAACAGCUAGAUGGUAUUAGGAGUGGCAUAUUUUAUGUUUGAUAUGCAAUCUGUUGAUCCAGCAAUCAUAUUUAGUUGUAUUGCAAAAGGAUAGCUUGAUUCACUGUUUUCCUUUCUGUCAAACUCGCAUUUUUCAAAUCCAACAAGUUUUGAGUAUAGAUCCUCACAAGUUACAAUAUAGAAUACUUUUCUGACCAGAUCUGCACAGGCGCUACCAUUUCCAACUAAUCAUUUACCUUAUGCAUUUUGAAGUUAAACCAUGUUUAUGUUCAGAACAGGUUUUUUAUU